rnacentral:misc_RNA from 1 species
UAUCACAGGCCUGAACUUUAAACUCAUUACACAUCUUUUUUUUUUAUUUCUGACAGAGUGAGGUUAUUUUUCAUCAACAAACUGUAUCUCUAAAUUUUUUAUUGAAAAAAAAUAAAUAAACAUUAUGAAUGAAGAACGUUUUAUUGUUAAAUUUAUUUCAGUUAAAAAUUGUUUUGUUUAUAUUCCAAAUAACUGGCUACAAAGAUUGACAACACAGAAUGGUGCUAUUAAAUUGAGCUAUGAUAAUAAAGAAUAUUUUGUUUCUCAUGAAAAAUCAAAAUCAAGUGGAAAUGAUUAUUUAUGUAUUAGUCCAACAUUUGGAAAAUGUUUGGAUAUCAAAGAGGGCAAUGAAAUAUUUGCAACAUGGAUUUUUGAUCCACCUGUUUUAACAUCAAUUAUUGUUACACCUAUUAAUUAUUCAGACUGGGAAAUUGUGAGACUUCAAGCUGAUAAAAUACAAUCAAUUAUGUUGAAUCAAAUAAAUAUUGUAACACCAAAUCAAAUCAUUGUCAUUUGGCUUUCAAAAUAUUUGAAUAUUAAACUUUUAGUUGAUUCAAUUAAUCCAAAAUUUUUAUAUGGAAAAUUAGAAAAUUAUACAGAAGUUCAUGUACAAGAUUCACCCUCAAAAACAACUUCCAAUAAUACAAUUGAAAAAAUCAUAAAUUCAUUUAAUUUAAAUGAUAAAAAAAAUACCGAUAAUAAUAUUGAUUUAAAUAUUUACAAAAAAGAAAAGCUAAAUUUUAUAUUUCGUGUUUGUAAAACACCAAAGUUUGAGUAUCUAAUUGAUGAUGAUAAAAUUAAUUGUGAGCUUAAUUCACCUCACAAUAUAUUUAUUCAAAAGCUGGAAUUAAAAAAAUUAUUUUCUCAUCAAGAUAGCUUUGAAAAUACAUUUGUAAAAAUUAAAAAAAUACAUUACAUUGAUAAACAAAAUGAAAAUGUUAAUUUGACUUUAUCAAAUGAUAAUGAUAAUUUUGAUGAUGUAGAAAUUGAUGAUACAGUGAGGAUAUUGUCGAUUGAUGAUUUUCUAAAUGACACUAUUGCUGAAAAUAAUUUUUUUGGAAAUAUUUGGAUACCAGAAUUAUUAAGAAAAAAAUUGGGACUUCAAUUGGGAUCAAAAAUAAAAUUAGAACCUCUAGAUGUCAUUGAAGAUCCUGUAAAAGCAAUAAAAUUAAUUACUUCAAUAAAUUCUCCUCUAAAUCGUAGUAAAUUCGAAAAUUAUAUAAAAAAAUAUUCUGAAAAUUAUGAAAUUUUAUUAACAUCUGGUACAAAAAUAUACAUUGAUGAUGAAAUUUUUUGUAUCACUAAAUUUACUGAUGAAGAAAACAAAUAUAUUUUAUUGAAUAAGCCAAAAUUACAACAAUUAAAAAUAACAAUUAAUAAUGAAGAAUUUAAAAGUAAAAAUUUGAUUAUUAAAAAUGGCAAAGAAAAGAUAGAAGAUAUGAUAAAUAUGAAAAAUAUUUAUCAUACAAUAUUUCAAGAAAUAUUUGAAGAAUGCCACAUGAUAAUAAAUCUUAGUUUUGAUAGAAAUUUCUUUUCAUAUAAUAGAGAAAAUAUUUUAAUUUGUGGUGAUAUUGGUACUGGUAAAUCUACAAUUUGUAAAUUAUUAAAACAACAAUUUGAAAGUUAUCCAAAAAAUAUAUACACACGUUUUAUUGAUUGUAAAAAAUUAAAAGGUAAAAAAUCAGAAAUAAUAUAUAAAUUAUUAAAUUCAAUAUUAAAUGAAUGUGUAUAUUAUCAACCAUCAAUAAUAUUUUUUGAUGAUUUAGAAAGUAUAAUAAAUUAUUCAUCAGAUAGUGAUGAAAAUUCACCAGAUGCUAUUAAUCAGUGGAAAAUUUCUGAUGCAAUUGUUAAAUUAUUAACGAGUUAUCAAUCACGUUAUUUAAUUUGUUGUAUUUCAAGCUGUACUGAUGUAUUAAAACUUGGUACCGAGUUACGAUCAUCAAGAGGUGUACAAUUUUUUCGAACAAUUAUUAAAAUUCCAACAAUAAAAACAUCAGAUAGAAUUGAAUUUUACAAGUUAUUAUUGAAAAAUAAAUUAACUAUUGAUGAUAAUAUUGAUUGGCAAUAUUUUGGAAUUAAAACUGAAGGCUGGGUUGCCCAAGAUCUAGUUGAUUUAGCUGAAAAAACUGUAUUUUUUGUAUGGAAAAGCAAUUUAAAAACAACAAAAUCAAAUAGUGAAUUAUAUCUAAUGAAUGACAAUUUAACUUUAGCAUUAGAAAAAUCAAAAGCAUUGUCUUUACAUGGUGUAUCAUUGUACAGUAACAAAGAAAAUAGUUGGUCAAAUAUUGGUGGUCUUGAUGAUGUUAAAAAAAUUCUUAUUCAAUUACUACAAUGGCCACUUAUUUAUCCAGAAUUAUAUUUAAAUUCACCAACUAAACAUCAACCUGGUAUUUUAUUAUAUGGUAUGCCUGGUACUGGUAAAACAAUAAUUGCUGGUGCAAUUGCAAAUGAAUGUGGAUUAAAUUUUAUAAAUAUUAAAGGACCAGAAUUAUUAUCAAAGUACAUUGGUGCUAGUGAAGAAUCUGUUAGAAAAAUAUUUAUAAAAGCACAAUUAGCAAAACCUUGUGUAUUAUUUUUUGAUGAAUUUGAUAGUUUUGCACCAAGACGUGGACAUGAUUCAACAGGUGUUACUGAUCGUGUUGUUAAUCAAUUAUUGACACAAUUUGAUGGUGUUGAAGGUCGUGAUGGUGUUGCUAUUGUUGCUGCUACAUCUAGACCUGAUUUAUUAGAUCCAGCAUUACUAAGACCAGGAAGAUUAGAUAAAUCAAUUUAUUGUCCAUUACCAAAUGAGCUGGAAAGAGAAAAAAUUCUUCAAACUCUCUGCAAAUCACAAUCUAUCAAUACAAAUAAUUUAGAUUUAACAAAAAUAUCAAAAUUAACAAAUGGAUUUACUGGUGCUGAUUUAAAUGCAAUAUUAACACAAGCAAAAUUGGAUUCAUUAGAAAAAAUAUGGUCAAAAACAACAGCUCCUAUUGAUAAACAAAAUUUUAAUGAUAUUACAAUUACACAAGAUGGAUUAAUUAAUGCCUUUGAAUUAACACAACCGUCAUUGUCAACAAUUGAUGUUAUUAAAUAUAAUAAUAUAUAUAAAAAAUUUUCAAAUGGCAAUAAUUUUAUUGAUGAAAUUUUGAAUAAUCAAAAGUCAACACUUGCAUAAUUGAUAGAGUAAAAAAAUCUUAAUGAAAAUAAAAAAAAUAAAAGUGGAAAUGUAAUUAUGCACGAGGGUGUUUGUGGUAUGUUCUACUGUAUACAGACAAAAUGGAAUGGGGAAGAACGUUAUUGUGGGCGAUGAUGCGAGUCAUUAGAUUUUGUUCAGUG